UUGUUUUCGUAGUUUUCGUGACAGAAUAAUAUAUUUUUUUUUACCGUUUGUCUGGCUAAAAUAAUAAAUAGGUGCUUUUCAAGCAUUCAUUUUUAAUAAUACAAAUAAAAUCUCAUCAAAUUUGUGAUUGUGAAAUCGAAAAGUUAUGUUUUUCUAGGUUUCAUUCAUGUACAGUAGGUACUCGGCGAGAUUGAAGUAGACAUAUUAUAAUUAGAAGAGAAGAAACGAGAAGAAAAUGGCUUAACGUUUUUGGAAUUGAUCAUUGUCAUAAUUGGCAACGUAUAUGUAGGGAUCAUUUUUUAGAAGAAAACUAUAAGCCGGAAAAAAGUAGUAAUGCUGCUCAAAGUAAUGAUGUUGAAACUGGAAAUCAUGUAAUUUUACCAAUGGAACAAGAUAUGAGAGAGGAAAAUAUUGAAAAUGCUGUUGUAAAUAAUUUUAAAUCACCAAGAUAGUCAUUUAGACUUACAAGAAACAACGAGGAUAAGAGUAAUAAAAAUAUACCGGACCAUACUUCAGGAUCUGGAUUACAAUGUUCUGUUAAAAACUGUUUUAACAGGUAUUCAAAGAAUCUUAGUCUCUUUGGCUAUCCUAAGGAUUUCACGCUCAGAAAAAAGUGGAUAGAAAAAUGUGAAAUAAAAAAAAAUCCUGUCAGUUGUGAAUUAUGCUUAUGGCAUAAUUUAAAAAAAAAAAUA